rnacentral:rRNA from 1 species
UACGUAGGGGUGCGAGCGUUGCCCCGGAUUUAUUGGGCGUAAAGGGCGCGUAGGCGGUCACGCACGUCCGUUGUGAAAUCGCUCGGCUCAACUGGGGCGGGGUCAGCGGAUACGGCGUGGCUGGAGCAAGCUAGGGGGGCCAAUGGAAUUCCCCGGUGUUAGUGGUGGAAUGCGUAGAUAUCGGGAGGAACACCAGUGGCGAAGGCGGUUGCCUGGAG